GUCGAGCGAUGAAGCUUCCUUCGGGAAGUGGAUUAGCGGCGGACGGGUGAGUAACACGUGGGUAACCUGCCUCAAAGUGGGGGAUAGCCUUCCGAAAGGAAGAUUAAUACCGCAUAACAUAAGAGAAUCGCAUGAUUUUCUUAUCAAAGAUUUAUUGCUUUGAGAUGGACCCGCGGCGCAUUAGCUAGUUGGUAAGGUAACGGCUUACCAAGGCAACGAUGCGUAGCCGACCUGAGAGGGUGAUCGGCCACAUUGGAACUGAGACACGGUCCAGACUCCUACGGGAGGCAGCAGUGGGGAAUAUUGCGCAAUGGGGGAAACCCUGACGCAGCAACGCCGCGUGGGUGAUGAAGGUCUUCGGAUUGUAAAGCCCUGUUUUCUGGGACGAUAAUGACGGUACCAGAGGAGGAAGCCACGGCUAACUACGUGCCAGCAGCCGCGGUAAUACGUAGGUGGCGAGCGUUGUCCGGAUUUACUGGGCGUAAAGGGUGCGUAGGCGGAUGUUUAAGUGGGAUGUGAAAUCCCCGGGCUUAACCUGGGGGCUGCAUUCCAAACUGGAUAUCUAGAGUGCAGGAGAGGAAAGCGGAAUUCCUAGUGUAGCGGUGAAAUGCGUAGAGAUUAGGAAGAACACCAGUGGCGAAGGCGGCUUUCUGGACUGUAACUGACGCUGAGGCACGAAAGCGUGGGUAGCAAACAGGAUUAGAUACCCUGGUAGUCCACGCCGUAAACGAUGGAUACUAGGUGUAGGGGGUAUCAACUCCCCCUGUGCCGCAGUUAACACAAUAAGUAUCCCGCCUGGGGAGUACGGUCGCAAG
rnacentral:rRNA from 1 species